GCAAGGGUCGGGUUACGAACUGUGUCAGGUCCGGAAGGAAGCAGCACUAAGUAUCAUCAACCUUGUGCC
rnacentral:SRP_RNA from 1 species